rnacentral:rRNA from 1 species
AACGAACGCUGGCGGCAGGCUUAACACAUGCAAGUCGAACGAGAUCUUCGGACCUAGUGGCAGACGGGUGAGGAACACGUGGGAACAUCCCUUUCAGUUCGGAAUAACGUUGGGAAACUAACGCUAAUACCGGAUACGUCCUUCGGGAGAAAGGUUUAUCGCUGAAAGAUUGGCCCGGGUCUGAUUAGCUAUUUUGUGAGGUAAUGGCUCACCAAGGCUACGAUCAGUAGCGGAUCUGAGAGGAUGAUCAGCCACAUUGGGACUGAGACACGGCACAAACUACUACGGGAGGCCGCAGUUGGGAAUAUUGGACAAUGGGCGCAAGCCUGAUCCAGCCAUGCCGCGUGAGUGAUGUCGGCCUUCGAGUUGUAAAGCUCUUUUGUCCGGGAAGAUAAUGACUGUACCGGAAGCAUAAGCCCCGGCAAACUUCGUGCCAGCAGCCGCGGUAA